rnacentral:misc_RNA from 1 species
UGGCUCUGGCAUCGAUGAAGAACGCAGCGAAAUGCGAUAAGUAGUGUGAAUUGCAGAAUUCAGUGAAUCAUCGAAUCUUUGAACGCACAUUGCGCCCCUUGGUAUUCCAUGGGGCAUGCCUGUUCGAGCGUCAUCUACACCCUCAAGCCCUGCUUGGUGUUGGGCGUCUGUCCCCGCCUCUGCGCGUGGACUCGCCCCAAAUGGAUUGGCAGCGGUCUUUGCCUCGAUCUUGCGCAGCACAUUGCGCUUGCAGAAUCGAGGCGGGCUGCGACCACGAAGCUUACCACCGUCUUUGACCUCGGAUCAGGUAGGGAUACCCGCUGA